rnacentral:rRNA from 1 species
GAGGGAAACGCCCGGUUACAUUCCGAACCCGGAAGCUAAGCCUCUCAGCGCCGAUGGUACUGCAGGGGGGACCCUGUGGGAGAGUAGGACACCGCCGGAC